rnacentral:rRNA from 1 species
CCUACGGGCGGCAGCAGUGAGGAAUAUUGGUCAAUGGACGAGAGUCUGAACCAGUCAAGUAGCGUGAAGGAUGACUGCCCUAUGGGUUGUAAACUUCUUUUAUAUGGGAAUAAAAUGUUCCACGUGUGGGAUUUUGUAUGUACCAUAUGAAUAAGGAUCGGCUAACUCCGUGCCAGCAGCCGCGGUAAUACGGAGGAUCCGAGCGUUAUCCGGAUUUAUUGGGUUUAAAGGGAGCGUAGGUGGAUUGUUAAGUCAGUUGUGAAAGUUUGCGGCUCAACCGUAAAAUUGCAGUUGAAACUGGCAGUCUUGAGUACAGUAGAGGUGGGCGGAAUUCGUGGUGUAGCGGUGAAAUGCUUAGAUAUCACGAAGAACUCCGAUUGCGAAGGCAGUUCACUGGACUGCAACUGACACUGAGGCUCGAAAGUGUGGGUAUCAAACAGGAUUAGAUACCCGUGUAGUC